rnacentral:tRNA from 1 species
GAUGUAGCUCAGUGGUGAAUGCUUGCCUAGUAUGCAUGAGGCCCUGGGUUUGAUCCCCAGAACG